rnacentral:rRNA from 1 species
AAAGAUUAAGCCAUGCAUGUCUAAGCACCCUUUUAAUACGGUGAAGCCGCGAAUAGCUCAUUACAACAGCCACCGUUUACUAGAAUAUAGUUAUCCUACUUGGAUAACUGUGGCAAUUCUAGAGCUAAUACAUGCAAAAAAGCUCUGACCGCAAGGAACGAGCGCAUUUAUUAGAAUAAAAACCAAUCGGGUUUCGGCCCGUAAUUUGGUGAAUCUGAAUAACUUUGCCAAUCGCACAGUCCUAGUACUGGCGAUGUAUCUUUCAAGUGUCUGCCUUAUCAACUUUCGAUGGUAGGUUAUACGCCUACCAUGGUAGUAACGGGUAACGGAGAAUAAGGGUUCGACUCCGGAGAGGGAGCCUGAGAAACGGCUACCACAUCCAAGGAAGGCAGCAGGCGCGCAAAUUACCCACUUCCAGAACGGAGAGGUAGUGACGAAAAAUAACGAGACAGUCCUCUUCGAGGUCUGUCAUCAGAAUGGGUACAAUUUAAAUCCUUUAACGAGGAUCUAUUGGAGGGCAAGUCUGGUGCCAGCAGCCGCGGUAAUUCCAGCUCCAAUAGCGUAUAUUAAAAUUGUUGCGGUUAAAACGCUCGUAGUUGGAUCUGCGGCCUCGGAGAACGGUCCCCCGAAAGGGUGGUCACUGUCUCUCCUAGCCUAAAUUCGAGUCGUCUCUAGGUGCUCUUUACCGAGUGCUUAGAGUGACUAGAACGUUUACUUUGAAAAAAUUAGAGUGCUUAAAGCANGCGAAAUAGCCUGAAUAAGGUGCAUGGAAUAAUGGAAUAGGACCUCGGUUCUAUUUUGUUGGUUUUCGGAACCCGAGGUAAUGAUUAAGANGAACAGACGGGGGCAUUCGUAUUCCGGCGCUAGAGGUGAAAUUCUUGGACCGCCGGAAGACGGACGACUGCGAAAGCUUUUGCCAGAAUG